UCAUCAGCCGCCUCUAAAAUGGAAAGUUUCUUGAAUCUUGAAACCGACCCUCAUUGGGUUUUUUGGAUAAAACGAGACAUUCAAGUUUGUAAUUUCUGCAAAUCAAUCGAUUGCACAUUAAUUGAUAAUGAGCAUAUUAGUUGCGGCCUUGUUUACAUAAUUCCAAGAGGACGCCGCGCCAGACAAACUGUCCAUUCCACCUCAACGUUCAUCUCCUGAGUGCGGUUCUUUGUCUUUUGGAGAAGGACUCGGAAACACGACAACGGCAAAAUAAAGGGCACAAUACCUUCAUAGCUGAUCUUGGCCGAAACAUUUCAUCUCGUGCCAAACCUGUUUUGCCACAGACGAGUUUGUCGUGUGCCAACGGUGGAUCUUCAAAGCCUCAUUAGCCGGCCUCCACGCUCGGCUCUUGAGAAGCUCCAAAUAAUGGGAUCGUCUCUGACAAAGUCUUAAGGGUUGCUUGGCCGUUUCUCCCACUUCACAAACACAGGCUCGAGUGUGUGCAGCUGUGUGCGAUACCUCUUCAGUAUUUCUGUUUACUUUAAUAAUCACGGGGGGACAAUGGCUCAUGAUGUACGUCUUUGUUUCUCUGCCAGCACCUACACAAAUGUCUGAACAACACUGUUUGGAGGAAAAACACAGAAUUCAUUAUGCGAACACAAAACACCCAAACAUUAGAUUACCAUGAGAAUACUGGAGGUUCUAAUGGGCCUGGAUACGGCAAACAAUGACACAAGGGCUCCUUUAAUUUAAUUAUUUACUUUUACUACCGCUCAAGAUUCCAUUAGCGCUUUCGAGAUCAUGCUAAUUGGCAGCAUACGCCAGUGGGUGCAUAGAUAUCUGAAGGGUUUGUUGGCAGGUUUUUUGUUUGCGAAAUUUGGCCAAAUCUGUGAAUUACCAAUUGGACAGCUCAGUAAGAUGUGGGGUUUUAAGUCUUUGUGUCCAUCCACAUGAAAGAUGGCCUAUUAGAAAUUGGCAGCAAGCUGUUUGUUUUCAUUAAGCCACAUCAGAGAGAUAAUUUACCUAAAUUAUUCUGUUUUUUUAUUUUCUGUCUUUUAAAUAAGCUAAUUACAUCAGUGCCAGUAUAUAAAGAAUUGGAUUGAGAUCCAAUUGAAAAAGUGUGCGUUUGAGUUUAAAGGACUUGUGAUGGCUAAAUUCAUCUAUUUGUACGUUUGUAUUCCUGAACGUUUAGCGUUUUAAAUAGCUAAGAACAACAUAAAUCAGAUUUUUUUUGAAGUAGAAAGUAUAGCUUUGUACGAGUUUUAGGCACUUAGGAUGUUUAGUUUCUCACCCAUCAGGGAAGACUGGAUCGGAUUGGUCCUGAAUUGAACGUGGUGACAACAAGAAGAUGGAGGACUUUUCCAAGAGAUGGUUCGGACCCCGCACAGGUGAUCUCUGGGAUAAAACAGCAUCAGAUUACAGAGGGACUGUGGCAAGUUUACAAGGCAAAGUAUGGUUGCACCAAAUACCGAUUUGAUUUAGGUUUUUCCCACUUUACUGCAGUUUGUUUAACCGAUAAAUGAAAGCUACUAUUUUUAAAAGCAGCCUCACUUCACUUUUAAUGCCUAAAACCUCAGCAUAGUACCGUAUAGUCUCUUCGUCCCCACACGUAUUAUCAAAUUUAGACAUUGAAAAGGGUUUUUUCCCCAUAAUUUAAGUUCCAAAAUACUUACAUUUACCUAAAAUGACAAUAUUUGUCACAAAAUGGUAAUAAUAAAUAAUUAUAGGUCCUUGAAAAUGGUUUUUUAAAAAAAAAAAAAAAAAAAGUACAAAACCUCCAAUUCUGGCUGGUAUUGUGUCUCCAUAAAGUUCCUGUAAGUAAGUGUGUGUGUGUGUGUGUGUGUGUGUGUGUGUGUGUGUGUGUGUGUGUGUGUGUGUGUGUGUGUGUGUGUGUGUGUGUGUGUGUGUGUGUGUAUAUAUAUAUAUCCAUGUUUCUACUAAAAUUUCUCCAAUCUGAAAAAAAAGUAAUUCAUAGUAAAUGUAUUAUUGUCUACUGCAUAUGGUUCUAUAAGUGUCCCUGGCUGACUGCUGCAUUGUCAUUUUUUUAGGAAA
ensembl:lncRNA